CAAGGAUGAACCCCCUACAUUAGAGAGUACUGUACAGAAGAAGAGGAAAGCUCAGGCUCUGGGAAUAUGGUGCUGAAUAAGAAACACACUGUCCCUACAG
rnacentral:sRNA from 1 species